rnacentral:rRNA from 1 species
GUAGGUGGCAAGCGUUGUCCGGAAUUAUUGGGCGUAAAGCGCGCGCAGGCGGUUCAUUAAGUCUGAUGUGAAAGCCCACGGGCUCAACCGUGGAGGGUCAUUGGAAACUGGAGAACUUGAGUACGGAAGAGGAAAGCGGAAUUCCACGUGUAGCGGUGAAAUGCGUAGAGAUGUGGAGGAACACCAGUGGCGAAGGCGGCUUUCUGGUCUGUAACUGACGCUGAGGCGCGAAAGCGUGGGGAGCAAACAGGAUUAGAUACCCUGGUAGUCCACGCCGUAAACGAUGAGUGCUAAGUGUUAGGGGGUUUCCGCCCCUUAGUGCUGCAGCUAACGCAUUAAGCACUCCGCCUGGGGAGUACGGCCGCAAAGGCUG